CGGAGCAGCCGCAGCUCACAGCCCGCAGAGGACGCCCAGAGCGGCGAGCGCGCAGACAGACGGACCGACGGACUCGCGCCGCGUCCACCUGUCUGCCGCGCCCGGCACUGCGCGCAGCGGGCACGCCGCGAGCGCGGAGCAGCCGUGCCCGCCGCCCGGGCCCCGCGCCAAGGCGCACACGCUCCGGCCCCCCCCACCCGGCCCGGGCGGGAGUUUGCACCUCUCCCUGCCCGGGUACUCGGGCCGCCGCUGCAAAGCCAACUUUGGAAAAAGUUUUUUGGGGGAGACUUUGGCCUUGAGGUGCCCGGCUCUGCACUUUCCGACUUCGGGGGCCUUUCUAGAAAAUGUUGCAAAAAAGCUAAGCCAGCGGGCAGAGGAAAACGCCUAUAGCCGGCGAGUGAAGACGAACCAUCGGCUGCCGUGUUCUUUUUCCUCUUGGAGGUUGGAGUCCCCUGGGCGCCCCCACACGGCUAGACGCCUCGGCUGGUUCGCGACGCAGACCCCCGGCCGUGGAUGCUCGCUCGGGCUCGGGAUCCGCCCAGGUAGCGGCCGCGGACCCUGGUCCCGCGCCCAGGCCCUCCCCAGCCCCCCAACGACGGAGCCGGGGC
rfam:Felis catus isolate Cinnamon breed Abyssinian chromosome B4, whole genome shotgun sequence.